rnacentral:rRNA from 1 species
UGGGGAAUCUUGCACAAUGGGGGAAACCCUGAUGCAGCGACGCCGCGUGAGCGAUGAAGCCCUUCGGGGGGUAAAGCUCUUUCGACAGGAACGAUCAUGACGGUACCUGGAGAAGAAGCUGCGGCUAACUACGUGCCAGCAGCCGCGGUAAUACGUAGGCAGCAAACGUUGUUCGGAGUUACUGGGCGUAAAGAGUACGUAGGCGGUUUGCUAAGUCUGGUGUGAAAUCUCCCGGCUUAACUGGGAGGG